GCAUUUUCGAGCCGAAAGUGUAAAGCACCUGCGCGGGGAAAUCAGUUCGCGGGGCUGAUUUCUGAUACCGCUGCGAUAGGUUGGAAAAUACGAUAAAACAAAUAGUUAGAGCGGCUCCAGCGAUUCUGUUAAAACAGGAACCGCCCUAGAAACAUCGCGUUGACAAGGUUCCCCAUGGCUUCAGGCUUGUUUGCACUUCUUGAUGAUAUCGCCGCCAUUGCCAAAAUGGCGGCA
rnacentral:misc_RNA from 1 species